CUCUCUCUCUCUCUCUCUCUCUCUCUCUCUCUCUCUCUCUAUCUCACUCUCUCUCUCUCCUAACCCUAACCCCAACCCCAACCACAAACCUGACACGCCAGUGCCUCCGGCCUUGUUUCGGGUGGCGUCCUGCCUGCGAUGAUUGUCACUCUGGGUGGCCUGCUCGGGUCCUUGGGGUGGCCAUCGUUCGGCUUGGCGUCGCCUGGACAGGUUGUGAUGGAGCGAGCACACCCUCCUCUUCUCUCUUUUCUUUUUUUCACA